rnacentral:rRNA from 1 species
CUACGGGAGGCAGCAGUGGGGAAUUUUCCGCAAUGGGCGAAAGCCUGACGGAGCAAUACAGCGUGAGGGAAGACUGCCUAUGGGUUGUAAACCUCUUUUUUCAGGGAGGAAUAAAAUGACGUGUACCUGAAGAAUAAGCAUCGGCUAACUCCGUGCCAGCAGCCGCGGUAAGACGGAGGAUGCAAGUGUUAUCCGGAAUCACUGGGCGUAAAGCGUCUGUAGGUGGUUUAAUAAGUCAACUGUUAAAUCUUGAGGCUCAACUUCAAAAUCGCAGUCGAAACUAUUAGACCAGAGUAUAGUAGAGGUAAAGGGAAUUUCCAGUGGAGCGGUGAAAUGCGUAGAUAUUGGAAAGAACACCGAUGGCGAAAGCACUUUACUGGGCUAUCACUAACACUCAGAGACGAAAGCUAGGGUAACAAAUGGGAUUAGAUACCCCAGUAGUCCUAGCCGUAAACAAUGGAUACUAGAUGUUGAACAGAUCGACCUGUGCAGUAUCAAAGCUAACGCGUUAAGUAUCCCGCCUGGGAAGUAUGCUCGCAAGAGUGAAACUCAAAG